rnacentral:rRNA from 1 species
AUGUUGGGUUAAGUCCCGCAACGAGCGCAACCCUCGUCGUAUGUUGCCAGCGGGUAAUGCCGGGGACUCAUACGAGACUGCCGGGGUCAACUCGGAGGAAGGUGGGGAUGACGUCAAGUCAUCAUGCCCCUUAUGUCUAGGGCUGCACGCAUGCUACAAUGGCCGGUACAAAGGGCUGCGAUACCGCGAGGUGGAGCGAAUCCCAAAAAGCCGGUCUCAGUUCGGAUUGGGGUCUGCAACUCGACCCCAUGAAGUCGGAGUCGCUAGUAAUCGCAGAUCAGCAACGCUGCGGUGAAUACGUUCCCGGGCCUUGUACACAC